AGAUGAUCCCAACAAUGACUAGACAAUAGGCUUGAAGCAAGUUUCCGGGACCAAGCCAAACCCACGCUGCCUGUGGCCCAAUCUAUAAUGAAUGAUUGGGGAUGUUGGAAAAUGCUGUGUGUCAUAUAUCACCCAAGGAACAAUUUCCUGGUGUCAACUUUUUAAAAGUGUUUUCCAAGAGGACUUGGAAAAAUAAAAAAAAAAUUCCACAAGACAACAUCACACUCCUUGAGCUUUGUAGAAGUCUUUGACGUGCUCAGAUGAAAGAAACGGUCCUCUGUAAUUAAUGUAAGCCUGUGGACAAUCCCCUAAGGUCUGAUAGGUGUUGAACCAAGCCUGGCGGAUGCAGAGGAAGCAGCAGGAGGUAUUCCAGCCCUGUUUGCAGCUUCAAGAAAAGUUAGAUGAGCCCCGAGUCUGUUGUCACCAUUUCCCCACAAAUGAGGCAGAAAUGAAACCAAACCAGAGCCCCUACUGAGAACCUGGAUAUACAGAAAGGCUAUGAUCAUCUUUGGCCCUGGCAAAGCUACUAAACUGCCUCAGUUUCUCCACUGGAACUGAAGAUGGAUGCAGCUUGGACCAAAGGAUACUAUUCUCUAUAGAAGCAGCAGCAGCAGCCAGUCAGUGCUGCGAACCAUAACUGCAUGAGUUCUUAUGUCACCAUGAUUAUUGGAAAGAAGAGCAUGGUUGCAUUCAACUCUAUCUGUGGUCAUAUGAUCAAAGACCAAGGAAUGACAAAUCCUGC
rnacentral:lncRNA from 1 species